CGGGUUACGUAAGCGCAUCCCAUACACGCGACGACGACGGUGAACGCGGUGCUGUGUGUGCAUGUACGCGGGACCGACUGUUUGCGAAUACGCCUGGGACGUACACAAGUUCCGAAGGAAAUCGGUACACGAUAGCGCUCUUUCAUGAUGCGGUUCUACGCGGCCGGCCGCCCGUAAUAAGUCUCAUUGGUGCGUUUUACGAUGUCUGACGAGAGUUACGAGCUAGCUGUCAGGCAAGGAACAAUAGUGCGUAACUGGAAGAAUCGUAUUGAGAGAGGGAACGAAGGCAAAUUAUCUCUGGUUCGGAAGAGGGAUGACUGGAGUUUCCGAAAACCGAGUACAAUCCCGUUCUCGUUGCCAAUCCACGCGGAUCCCGGAGGCAGCAGAGAAUAAGUAGAGCGCUGCAUUGCGUAACGCAAAGCAGGCGUAUCGGUUGCCCGUGAUUUGGUUCGAUCCUCAAAAGGGAGAAGUCAUUGGACCCGGUCCCGGUCUACGGUAUCGAUGGGAGAAAAAAAAGGAAUGCAAGUAUGGAAUAUGGCGGGAAUAAUUUGGGAGGCCGGCUCGAAAUCGGUAAAUCGCGACGGGCAAUGCUAAUAAGCGCGCGUGAUAUCGCAAGAAUUUGGCGAGCGCGAAAAUCCGAAAGCGAUCCACGGGUCAGCCGGCCGACAACUGCGACGAACAACAAAAUGUCGACCGCAAUUAUGCUGUAAUUAACUUGGAAGCGUACCGCGCGCACACUCACCUCUCGGCGAUACGCGAGCGGUACACCGACAACAAAAACACAGGAACAGGAAACGCACGCACACCCACCGGCGGGCACACCGGACGCGGCGCGGCUCGCUUCACAGGUGGUUGGGGAUUUUUGUAUUUAGCGGUUGGCACCGCCCGGCGUUCACGCGUUUACACGCGCCGCCUGGCUGCAUUAUGCAUGUUUGUGGUACCAGAAGCGAAUUUAAACCAACUACCUCCGAUCUAUUCUCUCUAGCUUGUCUUCACCCCUUUCGCUCGUUCUCCCCAUCCCGUUCGCUACUCUAAUUCUGAUUAUCGAAUCACGACUUUUACGCUUCCCCGUCGGCUUCGCGAGCUCGUCUCCACCUUGCGUACGAACAAAUUCUUAAAUCAUAAAUGCCCAACGAGCAAUCAUAAACAUUUAUACAUGUUAAAGCUGAAUUCUGUAUGCAACUAAUUAUACAUUACAUUAGUUACAUUCCCGUGUAUCACAGUAUAAUUACGUUGACAUUAACAGGGUGAAUCGAUAAGAAUCGCGAUUUGUCAAAACAUGAUUCGUCGAGCUUCGAUAUAAAAUCUUCUGAUGAACCGAAAAGACAAUUAAUUUAUAUCAUGGGGUCAACUGUCUUUAAAAGUUGAAGAGGACGAUAUCCUAUGCACGAAAUUGCAAUUUAAAUUAGUUGCUAUCCACAGGUGAAUUGCAGUAUAAUGACAUUAUCAUUAUAUAUAUGUUUUAGCACUUUAAAUAUUUAUUGCCUUGUUCUCGCGUAUCAAAUACGGUAUUAACGAUACACCGGGGAUUAGUAUUUCACCAGAUCUCAUCGAACGUUUUGAACAUAAAUGCAAACUUGCUACUUGCUCGACCUUAACCCAUUACCCGUUGCAAAUUAAUAACAAAUGAAUAAUGAUUAAAAAAAAAGAAUUAAAAAGGUCUCAACGGUCGAAUUUUGUUCCACUAAAAGGAUGCACUAAAGGAUCGCUUCAAUUUUAUUUGUUUUAUGGUUUGAAACUCGUGGUAUGAACGAUAGAGGAAAAAAAUAAUGGAGUAAAGGUGGAAUGAAAGAGGGCUGGCGUUGGACCGAUCGGCAGGCCGAGGAUGUCGCGCGAGGAUCAGCGCGCGUUACGCGGAUAUGUACGUCAAAUCAAAAUGCACAAUCCCGGCAAAUCAUUUCGAAUAUUUCAUAAUGGGCGCGAAAUAUCAUUACCUGCCGCCUGUGCGACACCCUGCACCCCGCCCCGCGUGCCACCGUCCCUCGUGAAUUCGGCCGCCGCGUUGACUCCCUGUGCAUUCGCGAAUAUUAUACCGACGCGGAAGAGGGUUUGCGGGAGCGAGAACGUAGCCGUGCGCGAAGGAAAGAGAGGGUACGUGCACGUACACGGGAAAAACACAUUGCCGAGGUUGCACACGCGCGCACGAACACGACGGGCUAUGCAACCGGGACUAAAUUACGUUCCCCGUAACGCGUUUAGCCGCGAAUCGCAUUGCGAGCGAUCCGUAUAACCCGAAUAUCGGCCGCACGCCAGAGACAGGCCCGACCGACCAACCAACCGACCGACCGACCAAGAGCGAGUCCGGGAACGAUCAUUACACCCAUCGAUGAGAGAUUUCACACUCCAUUUUGAUCAUCGAUCUUACCCCACCGUCCCUCGAUCCCUCGUUCCAUGCACUUACGUUACAACCGGCGAGUAGACCGGACCACGUUCGAAUAGUCACGUAGUGCGAGGAACGGUAGCAUACUUCAGUAUAGGAAUAGAAAUUUCUGUAUUAAUAAUAAAUGUAUCGUUUCGGCGUUUGUAGAAAUGCUAUAAAAUCGUUAAUUAUAAAAAAAGACAUCAUACUCUUCGUAAUUUCCACGUGUUACGUUAUUUCAAAAACUAUACUCCGAAUCGAUACGUAGCGUCGUAAACGUAAGCUACGUCUGACUACUAUUGUCUGGAUUCCCUGCGACUCCGAAACUGGACCGCCACUCUUUUAAAUUCCCUCGGUUGAAACUUGAACUUCAAUCAAUGUCUCGCAUGAGAUUUUCCUACCCCAUCGUUUAUAUAUAAAUAACUGGAGAACGAUUUACUGUACGAGAAGAAGGAAUUGUUGAAUCGUUCGAAAUUCGACAAUCUCGUCAGAAUGUAAAUGGCGCGGUAAGCAAUGGAACGGAACGGCGACGUCCUAGCUGGUAGGGUGGUAGCGAAACUAGUAGCGGUAUAGUUAGUAGCCAGCAGCGGGCAGACGGCAGCUA